CUCCGGGACAACCGCUGGAAACGGCGGCUAAUACCGGAUACUCCGGGAGGGCCCCAUGGCCCUGCCGGGAAAGCCGAGACGGCGCGGGAUGGGGUCGCGGCCCAUUAGGUAGACGGCGGGGUAACGGCCCACCGUGCCCGCGAUGGGUAGCCGGACUGAGAGGUCGACCGGCCACAUUGGGACUGAGAUACGGCCCAGACUCCUACGGGAGGCAGCAGUGGGGAAUUUUGCGCAAUGGGGGAAACCCUGACGCAGCAACGCCGCGUGCGGGACGAAGGCCCUCGGGUUGUAAACCGCUUUCAGCAGGGAAGAUCCAAGACGGUACCUGCAGAAGAAGCUCCGGCUAACUACGUGCCAGCAGCCGCGGUAAUACGUAGGGGGCGAGCGUUAUCCGGAUUCAUUGGGCGUAAAGCGCGCGUAGGCGGCCGCCUAAGCGGGACCUCUAACCCCGGGGCUCAACCCCGGGCCGGGUCCCGGACUGGGCGGCUCGAGUGCGGUAGAGGAGAGCGGAAUUCCCGGUGUAGCGGUGGAAUGCGCAGAUAUCGGGAAGAACACCGAUGGCGAAGGCAGCUCUCUGGGCCGUCACUGACGCUGAGGCGCGAAAGCUGGGGGAGCGAACAGGAUUAGAUACCCUGGUAGUCCCAGCUGUAAACGAUGGGCGCUAGGUGUGGGGGGACGAUCCCUCCGUGCCGCAG
rnacentral:rRNA from 1 species